UUCCAUGGACUAAUCUUCUUGGGUUGACAAUAUAAGCUUCUAGAUGGAUUAGAUAUGUAAGCAUUUGCUGAAAUAAAGGAAUGGAGCCCAAAUGUUUGCGAAUUGAAGGGGAUGCUGAUGGUAAGAAUCCCAGUUCAGUCCUUUCCCCGUCUCUCUGUCUCUUUGUCGUCUUUUUUUUUUUUUUUAAAAUAUAUAUAUAUUCUGGGUAAAGAAAACAAAGUCAUAAUAUUUUUUGGUAGUAAAAUGUUAAAAUAAAAUUGAUGGAUUCAGUUCCGAUUACCAUCACAUAUCAAAGUAUAUCUUUAAAACAAUAACUUAUUUACAGAACGUUUACCAACACAGUUCUUACAUCAACAAUAAAUUUUGGAAACACGAUCAUUCUCAUGAAAGUAGAUCAAUCUCACUUGCAUAUGAAACUUAGUCAAUUCAAAUACACUGAUCCAAACAAAUACCAUAUAAGACUCCUCUCACAGAGUGUACAUUGAUCAAUGUCAAACAUAUUCAAAUAAAAUUUUAAGUUAAAUUGUUCUAAAGCGAAUUGGGAACCACCAAUAGGAUUACAUAUAAAAUUAAACAUAGGGUCUAUUCGGUAACUUUUUAGGAAAUAAAAUUUUAAAAAACAGCAUCUAUAGUAAUACACAAAAAUACCCAGAAGGUCUAAUAAAAUGAAAAAAAAAAAGAGCUAAAUAUGGUAAUGACGGCGGAGGCCGGUAGCAGCGGUGGAUGGCGAGUAGCACGCGAGGUAAAAAGGGGGAUAUUUGGAAAAAAAAAGAGUGUUUUGGACAUAUAUCAGUAUUUUUAAAAAAAUAAAUAUAAUAAAAUUUUAGAUAAACACCUAAUAAACAUGUCAUCCAAACAGACUCAUAAUUUCAGAAAAUAUAUGUUUGGAUAAGAGAUUAUUUUAAAUAAUUACUGUAACACUUGGAUAAGAGAUUAUUUUGGAUAGGAAACUAUUUAAAAUAUUAUUUAUAAUAAUUAUUGUAAUACUUUUUAUGAUGUGAUAUAUGUGAGAUAAAAAGGUAAUUAGAAAAAUAAAAAGUGUGCUGAAAAAUAUGUUUGUGAUAUAAAUAAAUAUUUUUUGACAAAAAAUUACAAUCUAUGUACAUUAUUUAAGUUUGGAUUUUAGGAAUAUCAAAAUCUCAACUUUCUAGAAGUUGUUAGCUUGAUUUGUAUUCGUGUUGAGUGUUCGACCAAAUUUCCCAAGAAGAAAAAAAAAAAUCACGCAAGUAUUACGCUUUGUCAUUGUUCAAAUGACCAAAGAAAUCAGCUAAAUAAAUGUAUCAAAAAAAAA